rnacentral:rRNA from 1 species
AACGAACGCUGGCGGCAGGCCUAACACAUGCAAGUCGAGCGGACCCUUCGGGGUUAGCGGCGGACAGGUGAGUAACGCGUGGGAAUAUGCCCUUCUCUACGGAAUAGUCCUGGGAAACUGGGGGUAAUACCGUAUACGCCCUUUGGGGGAAAGAUUUAUCGGGGAAGGAUUAGCCCGCGUUGGAUUAGGUAGUUGGUGGGGUAAUGGCCUACCAAGCCGACGAUCCAUAGCUGGUUUGAGAGGAUGAUCAGCCACACUGGGACUGAGACACGGCCCAGACUCCUACGGGAGGCAGCAGUGGGGAAUCUUAGACAAUGGGGGCAACCCUGAUCUAGCCAUGCCGCGUGAGUGAUGAAGGCCUUAGGGUUGUAAAGCUCUUUCAGCUGGGAAGAUAAUGACGGUACCAGCAGAAGAAGCCCCGGCUAACUCCGUG